UGGAGGAAGUGCCAGUCCGCGAAGUGCAUGAAGCUCCCACUGGGCAUGAAGUGGUUGCUGGAGUCUGACUUUGAGGUGACGUUGAAGACCUUGCCCUGGUUGGGUUUGGCCCUCAGGUCACUGGUGUACUUGUUUCGGAUGGCGUCCUUCAGGAACCGCUCCAGGAAGGUCCUCAUUCAGGGUGUAACUGUGAU